rnacentral:rRNA from 1 species
GAUGAACGCUAGCGGCAGGCCUAAUACAUGCAGGUCGGACGGGAUUCAGGAGCUUGCUUCUGAUGAGAGUGGCGCACGGGUGCGUAACACGUAUGUAACCUACCUUUAUCAGGGGGAUAGCCUCUCGAAAGAGAGAUUAAGCCCGCAUAAAAUCACAGCACAGCAUUGUGUAAUGAUCAAAUAUUUAUAGGAUAAAGAUGGGCAUGCGGAACAUUAGCUAGAUGGCGGGGUAACGGCCCACCAUGGCGACGAUGUUUAGGGGAUCUGAGAGGAUGGCCCCCCACACUGGUACUGAGACACGGACCAGACUCCUACGGGAGGCAGCAGUAAGGAAUAUUGGUCAAUGGGCGGAAGCCUGAACCAGCCAUGCCGCGUGCAGGAAGACGGCCCUACGGGUUGUAAACUGCUUUUAUACGGGAAUAAACCCAGAUACGUGUAUCUGGCUGAAUGUACUGUAAGAAUAAGAAUCGGCUAACUCCGUG